rnacentral:lncRNA from 1 species
AAUUGACCAUGGGAAAAAAUGCAGAAAGAAAACAGAAGGCCAAUGACCAAUCCUCCCCUUGUCAAGGAAUAAUUUUAGAAUUUGUAUUAAAGGGAAAACAAUCAUUGAGUUAAUCUAGCAAAAGCAAAAACAAUUUCUGUAAGAGAAAUAAUAGAGAGGAAAGAAGAAAAAAUGUAGAUAGCUUGAAAAUUGUGUUUUCUAUGGGUAAGCUGCUGAUUAGCUGUUAGCCAACAAAGAAGCCAGUUAGCGUAUUCUGCCCUGGGACAAGUGGAUCGACUGUUAAAUAAUACAGCUUCACUUGGUUAUAGAUUCUCUGGAAGACCUUAGGAGUUUAGCUCAGGUGUAUGUGUCAGGCUGUUUCUGGAUAAAUACUGUCUAUCAUCUUUUGUAAGGACCUUCAUCAUGCUAGGUUUGUAUUGUUUCCCUCAUCAGAAUUUCUGAACUCCCUUUUAAUCAGCUUCAGCUCUAAUCCAGAUUGGCCCUGAGGACUUCACUGUUGUUCUGAGGCAGUUACAUGAAUUGAAUGUUGUGUGAGGGGAAUGGCCGUUGAAACCAUUUAGACCCCUGAGUACUAGACAGCAGAAGAUAGCAAAAAGAUGGGAGUUCCCAUUGUGACUCAGUGGGUUAACAACCUGACUAAUAUCCAUGAAGUUGUGGAUCAUGACCUCACUCAGUGGGUUAAGGAUCCCGCAUUGCCGCAAGCUGUGGUGUAGGUCGCAGAUGAGGCUUGGAUCCUCAGCCAUGUGAAGGGGACCUCAAGAGCGCAGUUUGCAGUUACAGGGUAAUGAUGCAGGAGAAGAAGAUUGGCAUACUCCUCCUCUACUGAUCCCUUCAAUCUUGGGGCUGUUGUUGCCCUGAUCAAAGGGGGCAUGCAGUGGAAGAGUUGUUGUGAAACCUUGAUAUAUUAUCUCCUGGAGUUUGGGAUUUAUGUGACCCUAGAACCUGAUGCCUUCUGUCUACUUGGAGAAUCUGCCCACAGCAAGGAAAAAGAGAAAGUCACACUCACCCUGCUUGCCUAACCCUAACAAAUCCCAGUUCUCGUCGCUAGCCCGCUAGCCCCUUACUCUAAAUUCUGUCUCCUAAACCCCUAACCUCAUCACUGAGAGUGACUUAACUUUUUUGACUUUUAAUCCAACCCUGGCUUUUCUGACCCUGACUUAUUCCCUUCUGAAGCCAACCUUGUUACUCUGACUCUUGAUCCUUAAGCUCAUGUCCUAAACCUUAGGCCCUUGCUACAGCCCCAAUAUCUAAUUCCACCCUAGUCUCUAGUCACCUUCCAAAUAUCUGACCCUGGAGCUUGAACACUUUUGACCCCUGACCACCAUUCUAACCUUAACACCUCUAUACUAAUUUCCAAUCCUAACCCAAGCCCCAGCCCCUAAACUAAUAACCCUUUAACUGUAGAUCUGAUUUCUAGAUUCUGAGCCACUGAUGUUUAUCCUCUUAACUUCUUAUCCCACCUUCUAAUCCCUAAGCCAUAAGUUCUAACCCCUGAUCCUGGAACCUUAGACUCCCAACUCUGAUUCCACAAAUAACAAAUCAGUAUUUUAUCCUACCAUGAGCCACAGACAAGGGGAGUUGCAGCAGUUCAAACUAUACAUAGGUUAGAAGACACAGAAAUGAAUGCCAGCAAAUUAAUUCACCAGGUACCAAACAUGAGACAAUAGGACCCUUAGUAAGGCAGUAAAACUUUCCCAAAUGCAGGAUAUGGUGAAUAACAUCAAGCCUGAACAAACUUCCAAGUUGCAGAAAAUGGGCAAUGAAAGUCUCAGUCAUUCUGACCAUACCUUCAUGUCCCAGCAUGGCACCUUCACUCAGCAAGUCAUUCUAGCCCUCUGGUGGAAGAGAAUAGUCCUUAGUAGGUUGUAAAGUUCCCAGAUACGGGAUAGGUGGCUCUGUAAAGCCCCUGCCUUAGGACACAGCAAAAGAAACCUCAGCAACACAAUAGCCACUAUAACCCAGAAGAUAAAUCAGUUGGAACUGCCACCACCACCCUCAAUAUCCCUAGCACAAUCAUUUGGACUCCAGGAGAAGCCACAGCAAAUUGGCUAACAACCCAGCUGAACAGGAGACAGGACCCCUAUGUGAAACCACCUUCACAACUCAUUAGUGAAAUUAAAACAAUCCAAUUUAAAAAUGGGCAACUGUACCUCAAUAGACAUUUCUUCAAAGAAGGCAAAUGAAUGGAAUGGUCAACAGGUACAUGAAAAGUUCAACAGAACUAAUCCUAAGGGAAAUAUAAAUCAAAACCACAGUGAAGUAUUAUCUCACACCUGUUGGAAUAGCUGUUAUCAAAAAGGUAGGAAAUGUGGAGUUCCCGUCGUGGCGCAGUGGUUAACGAAUCCGACUAGGAACCAUGAGGUUGCGGGUUCAGUCCCUGCCCUUGCUCAGUGGGUUAACGAUCCGGCGUUGCCGUGAGCUCUGGUGUAGGUUGCAGACACGGCUCGGAUCCCGCGUUGCUGUGGCUCUGGCGUAGGCCGGUGGCUACAGCUCCGAUUCAACCCCUGGCCUGGGAACCUCCAUAUGCCGCCGGAGCGGCCCAAGAAAUAGCAACAACAACAACAACAAAAGACAAAAGACAAAAAAAAAAAAAAAAAA